GGUUUACUAUAAACGGGUUCGUAUCAUAAACGGAUUGACAUGAUUAACCCGUUAAGUUAAACGUGUCGUGUUCGGGUUUUAGAGUUCAACCCAUUUAAUUCGUUUUGACCUGUUUAAUUAAAUGUGUCACCCGUGAAACCGUAUAACCUAUUUUGACCUGAUAAGGGACAUUUAGGUCAUUUCAUACUAUACAUAAGAAACCCUACAUAAUGCGCCUUUAGUCAUUAGAGAAUAUCUGCCGCUGCGUUUUCUUUCUCUUCUCUCUGGACUCUUCAGUCUCUCUCUAGUCUAUGUCUCUCCUCUUUCCUCUUCAGAGUUCAGACAAGAGUGAAGAGACGACUCCCUUUCUCUCUCAAAUCCUCAAUGAUCGAUCUCUAUCAUCGAUAUAUCUAAUAUCUUCAGUCCAGUCUCCAGUCCUCCAUCUCUAUUAUCGUGAACUCACCUGGAUGAUCGGAUCUCUAUCUUCAGUCCGUCUCCAAUCUUCCGUCUUGUACAACUCAUUGCACACACCUGAUUCUUCUAUAACUCAGUGAACUCACCCGGAUCUAUCUUCUUGUUUAGGUACAAUGAUGCUUCAAAUGGAUGACUUGAUUGAUGAUGUGAUGAAACUAAAUAUAAAGAAUGAUGAUCCUGCUGAACAUGACCAAAACUUAAAAUCCCUCAAGAUUCAGUUUAAGACAUUUCCAUUAAACAAUUUAUUUGGUUCUGUAAUAAUUAAUAACUUUACUAGCUUUGUUUUUAAUCUGUGUCUUUUGUAUCAACUUAUGACUUAUGUGAGUUUCAGACAUUUUUAUUAAUCUCUUUUGUUUUUA